rnacentral:tRNA from 1 species
GGAGGCGUUUGGUGGCUGGCGCUGCCCGCAGUCUUCAAAACUGUCUGCCGGGCCGCAAGGUCCGGGGUGGGUUCGAUUCCCAUGCGCCUCC